CAGAAAAUAGCUUAAGUUGAAAGUAUUUUAGUUACAUUAAAAAGAUAAAAAUAAAUGAUUUUUUCUGA
rnacentral:tRNA from 1 species